rnacentral:lncRNA from 1 species
GCUGCAUAGUGGCCAGGCAUGAAAUGCCCCCUAUUAGCUGCAGGAGUAUAUACAAAUCGCCAGCCUUCAGCAGAUGAGCCACAUUGGCCAGCCCACAAGGCAACACCAAGAGUAUUUCCUUCCUGCUGGGAAUUUUGUGAAGAUUGCAUGCACACUCAGCAGAGGACCUGGAGUGGAGUGUGCCCUGACAGAUGCUGGCUAUCAUUACUUGCACUAUUCCCUGCCUCUUCACCUGAUGAUUGAAAUUCUCUUAACUAGAAGCAAAGCCUUGUGUUCUUCAGUUAAGGACAAGGCAUCAAGUGCCACUACCCUUGAGGUUACACAGUGACAUAUUUACACCGAAGUGUAAGUGACACAUACCAGAGAAUGGGGGCCUCCAUCCACCCCGACCCCCCAGCCCUUGGGACCCCCCCAUCCCCCGGGACCCCCCCAUCCCCCACAGUACGUACUGAAGCUAUCUCAUUCAAGGUGCCGGGCACCAGCAGCAGAGGCCACAUCCCAGACCUGGACUCCCCCAGUCACCAGCUGCAGGUGCUGCCACUCUCCCUUAACCCUCCCAGCUGCUCCCCUCCUCCCUAUGACAGCUGAAUACAGGAACCAGCGCCCUCACCCUGCCCUGGAGCUUCCUCAUGCUUCCCUCUUCUUGAGAGGGCUCCACCCUCCUGGCUGGUCUCCUGCAGGAUAUCUCACCAUCUUUCUUCUUCCUCCUCCUCCUCCUUCUCUUCUUCUUCUUCUUCUAAAACGAUUUUUAAAAACACUUCAUGAAUUUGCAUAUCAUCCUUGCACAGGGGCCAUGCUAAUCUUUUCUGUAUCCUUCCAAUUUGAGUAUAUGUGCUGCUGAAGCGAGCAUAUCCCAUCGCCUUUCUACACCAGCAGAGCUCCAGCUUCCCCUCCAUUCAUGCCUCAGUAUGUGCCCACACCCCUGCCCUACAGAUGAGUCAUAGAUGGAGGGUCUACCUCAAUGUGAAUGGAACAGUUUUUCUUCCACGCAAGUAUGCAUAUCCCACACGAUUCUGUGUUGCAUGCACUUCUUCAAUGUACGGUGCGUGUGCCUAUUGUCGUGUGGCCUCUCCAUCCUCUGUUCUAUAGAACUGCUGAAAGCCAGCAUCUUCCUUUCCCUCUCUCUACACAGAACAACAGCUGUGGCAUCUUCCUUGACCC